AAAAAAUAGUUUUUUGGGGCAAUAUAGAUAAAAUGGCCAGCAAAAGAACCAAACUUUUACUUUUAUCCUCCCUCCAAAAGAAAAUUCUAUAAUUUCAUUUCCCUCUCUCUUUCUCUAACUCAUCCCGCCUAGGGCUUCUAUCUUUACAUACUAGGAGUAAUCAAUUUUCUAAUAGUUUUCUCGCUUGAUCUAUCCAUUCGAAAGAGACAAUCUCGUCAAUUCAAAGAUACCAAGGAUUAAUCUUUCAAUAUUCCAUGAAUUUGAAGAUAGAGUGUAUGCUCUUGGGGGAAAAAUUUAAGAAUCGUAUUUGGUGUUCGAUAAAAUGUCAUAACAAAGGAUAAUGGAGGAGAUUAAACAGCUAAUAGCAAGAUGCAAGAUUACACUAUCCCAUACUCUUAGAGAAGGCAAUAAACUGGCAGAGCACCUUGCAAAUCUUGCACUUGAUGUUGGCCCUAGUUAUUGCAACUGCUUUGGUGAUUUGGAUAUUCAAGAAAGGAGGAUUGUGAAUGAUGAUAAAUCCUAAUGUCCUUACUUAAGAAUAUGAGUUGCAGUAACUUAGGAGAAGAGGAUGAGAGGAGCACAAAGGGGAGGAAAGUUAUUGGAACUAACAGCCUAGAUCAACAUGAUCAAAUCCUUUGGGAGAAGAUCAUGAGGGUCAUUGUUUUUCCUAACGAUGUAUUUUUUUUUUGCAAGGGAUGCUAUUGUAUCCAUGCUUAACUAUUUGAUACAAGCUCAAUGGGUAGUAUUAUCACCCAUUGCUCAUUCCCUUGAGGGCGUAUAAGUGGUAAGCACAAGCAUGGACUCACGAUGGAUGGCAUAUUUUCAGAAGGAAAUUAUGCAAAUGGAUAGUGACAAAGUGGCUGUCAAUUCUAACAAAUAUGUGCUCAUUACCCAACAUGCUACACUUUUUAGGAUCUACGCACAAACAACAGAUUUUGCGGGUUGCAGAGAUAAGCUCCGAUUGUUGAGGCAUUUGCAGAUAGUGCUUUUCUCAAACACCAACAGCUGUGACGAAUUACAAAGCCCUGUACCAGUUUCAAUUGGAGCAAAGAAAUACAGCAAUGGGAACCUCCAGUGUUUUUUGAUUUCAGCAGCACUAAUACAUAAUUGUUCAUUGACAUUACAACUGCAACACUUCUACUACAAAGGUAACAACACCACAACACAUUAUUGUCGCAGGUAUGAUUUUGAAGCUAAUUGCUGUAUGUUUGUUGUCGUUCAACUUCCCUGUUGUAUUAGCAUCUUACCAUGCUCAUUCUGGGGGUUGUACAACAACUUACAACAACAAUUCUACAACAAAGAAUCUUCCGAAAUACAACAGGUGUAAAAAAUUGGGACACAUCAAUACACUGGAAACAACAAAGACUUCAACGCGACCUCUAGCAGUGUGCAUGUGACUACUACUGGAAAGGAAAUGUUUGGCUUGCUUAGUGUUCGGCUGUUUGUUUUAACUGUUUGGUUAAGGGGAAUAAGCCACUACAAACAAUGUCUCAAUCAAAAAUACCUCAUACUUCAGUUCUCUCCACGACCAUUGCAGUUGGGAUUUCAGUUAUUCAGCCCCAAAGCGAAGAUGUCCGAACUUUGCUUUACUACAUGAAUUUAUUUGCAACUGGUGUGUGAAUUGAUUGUCGUCAGCAACAAUUGGACGUUUCAAAUUUCUAGCUUUUUGCUUUCCAUUUUUCAUUUCGCUAAAGCUACAUUAUUUUUGGUAGCAAUAGCCAUUAGCUUUCUUUGUCGUAUUGCUUGUAGUUCAAUAGAACACUGUGUAACUUUUACCCAAUUUCGGAUUUAUUAUAUAUAACAGCUACUAGGUGAAUAACCUAGUAGUAUAUUUACUUAAAAAAAGUGAUAAAUUAUAUCAACAAAUUAUCAUUGAACUAAGAUAGAAUGAACCUUUUGAAAAUUCUGGAGGUGAAAAAAUGGAUAAGACGAGGAAGAUAGGAAACUCACUGAAGCAAUGAAGGUAGAGAGAGUUUCUUUAUAUUUUCACUUACAAGAAAAAUAUAUUUCGUUAUAUUUUCUUGUUUUAGCUUAUUUGUAGUUGUGAUGUUUUCUUGUUUUCGUGUGUUUGGCGAAGGUGGUAAAUUAAGAACUCUUAGAGUGAGUGACUACAUUUUUGGAUCCAUUAUAGUCGUUGUAGAGCUAAUAUUAAUCUGUUAUAAAGCUAUUGAGUAUGUUGAACAGAUGGUUCCAUAGUGAUGUCUUAAUGAGAAUUUAAGAUGUGCGUUUUAAUCUUAGAUAUACAUGGUCUCUGUUUCUAAAUUUUUGUAAAGAAAAGUUAGUUCUUCACAUUCACCAAUAAUCUUCUCAUUUUUAUCUUAUGGACAACGAAUUGUAAUUUGAUCUAUUGGUCCCAAUGGGUAUGAUAGUUAUGUCCAAAUAGAAAUCUUCUCCCUAAAAUAGCUGCAACUAAAUCCUUGGCUUUAAUUAAUCAAUACCAGGGCUCAAAUUUAUUACUGGGACUAAACACUUCUCUAGAGAGAUAAACUAGUCGUGGCCGCACGCUUGGUUCCUUAUUUUAGUAAAUGAUACUCUGUUCUUUGAUUUUGAAGUGUCGUUGUCCUGAUAUUAAUCCAUUUGAUAAAUUUUUGAAACUUUGUU